CGGAGUGGACGCAUCACUGGUGUUCGGGUUGUCAUGCCAAUGGCACUGCCCGGUAGCUAAAUGCGGAAGAGAUAAGUGCUGAAAGCAUCUAAGCACGAAACUUGCCCCGAGAUGAGUUCUCCCUGACCCUUUAAGGGUCCUGAAGGAACGUUGAAGACGACGACGUUGAUAGGCCGGGUGUGUAAGCGCAGCGAUGCGUUGAGCUAACCGGUACUAAUGAACCGUGAGGCUUAACCUUACAACCCGAAG
rnacentral:rRNA from 1 species